AGGGUUCGAUUCUGGCUCAGGAUGAACGCUGGCGGCGUGCCUAAUACAUGCAAGUCGAACGCUGGAGAUCUAGCUUGCUAGAUCGAAGGAGUGGCGAACGGGUGAGUAAUACAUAAGCAACCUACCCACGAAGACUGGGAUAAUCUCUGGAAACGGGGACUAAUACCGGAUAGGUAAUCGGAAGGCAUCUUCUGGUUAUUAAAGGUUAAAAACACUGGUGGAUGGGCUUAUGGCGCAUUAGUUAGUUGGUGAGGUAACGGCCCACCAAGACGAUGAUGCGUAGCCGGCCUGAGAGGGUGAACGGCCACAUUGGGACUGAGACACGGCCCAG
rnacentral:rRNA from 1 species